rnacentral:rRNA from 1 species
UACGGGGGGAGCAAGCGUUGUUCGGAUUUACUGGGCGUAAAGGGCGCGUAGGCGGUCAGCACAAGUCAGUUGUGAAAUCUCCGAGCUUAACUCGGAAAGGUCAACUGAUACUGUGCGACUAGAGUGCGGAAGGGGCAACUGGAAUUCUCGGUGUAGCGGUGAAAUGCGUAGAUAUCGUAAGGAAGACCAGUGGCGAAGGCGGGUCUCUGGACAGUUCCUGACGCUGAAGAGCGAAAGCGUGGGGAGCGAACAGG